UACGGAGGGUGCAAGCGUUAUCCGGAUUCACUGGGUUUAAAGGGUGCGUAGGUGGGCAAGUAAGUCAGUGGUGAAAUCUCCGGGCUUAACCCGGAAACUGCCAUUGAUACUAUUUGUCUUGAAUACUGUGGAGGUCAGCGGAAUAUGUCAUGUAGCGGUGAAAUGCUUAGAUAUGACAUAGAACACCAAUUGCGAAGGCAGCUGGCUACACAAUAUUGACACUGAGGCACGAAAGCGUGGGGAUCAAACAGG
rnacentral:rRNA from 1 species